AAUGGGGGCAACCCUGAUCUAGCCAGUGCCGCGGUGAGUGACGAAUGCCCUAGGGUCGCUAAAGCUCUUUCACCAGGGAAGAUAAUGACUGUACCUGGACAAGAAUCCCCGGCUAUCUCCGUUGCCAGCGAUCGUCGUGCUAAUACGGAGGGGGUUAGCGUUGUUCGCGAAUUACUGGGCGUGUAGCGCGCGUAUGCGGACUGUUAACUCCGGGGUGAAAUCCCGGGGCUCAACCCCGGAACUGCCCUUGAUACUGGCAGUCUCGAGUUCGAGAGAGGUGAGUGGAACUCCGAGUGUAGAGGUGAACUUCGUAAAUGUUCGGAAGACCUCCAGUGCGCGAAGGCGGGUCACUGGCUCGAUACUGACGCUGAUGUGCGAACACGUGUGGGUGAGCCAAACAUGUGAUUAGAUACCCUGGUAGUCCACACCCGUAUACGAUGAAUGCCUGACGUCGGCAAGCAUGCUGUUCGGUGUCACACCGUACGGAUUAAGCAUUUCGCCUGGGGAGUACGGCCGCAAGGUUGAAACUCAAAGGAGUUGACGGGGGCCCGCACAAACGGUGGAGCAUGUGGUUUAAUUCGAAGCCACGCACAGAACCUUACCAACCCUUGACAUCCUGGUCGCGGUUACCGGAGACGGUUUCCUUCAGUUCGGCUGGACGAGUGACAGGUGCUGCAUGGCUGUCGUCAGCUCGAGUCGUGAGAUGUUCGGAUAAGUCCGGCAACGAGCGCAACCCACACCCUUAGUUGCCAGCAGUCCGGCUGGGCACUCUAGGGGAACUGCUCGUGAUAAGCGGGAGGAAGGUGUGGAUGACGUCAAGUCCUCAUGGCCCUUUCAGGGUUGGGCUAUCACACGUGCUACAAUGGCAGUGACAAUGGGGUAAUCCCAAAAAUCUGUCUCAGUUCGGAUUGUCGUCUGCAACUCGACGGCAUGAAGUCGGAAUCGCUAGUAAUCGCGUAACAGCAUGACGCGGUGAUACGUUCCCGGGCCUUGUACACACCGCCCGUCACACCAUGGGAG
rnacentral:rRNA from 1 species